CAGUCGCCGCGGUAAUACGUAGGUGGCAAGCGUUGUCCGGAAUUAUUGGGCGUAAAGGGCUCGCAGGCGGAUUCUUAAGUCUGAUGUGAAAGCCCCCGGCUCAACCGGGGAGGGUCAUUGGAAACUGGGAAACUUGAGUGCAGAAGAGGAGAGUGGAAUUCCACGUGUAGCGGUGAAAUGCGUAGAGAUGUGGAGGAACACCAGUGGCGAAGGCGACUCUCUGGCCUGUAACUGACGCUGAGGAGCGAAAGCGUGGGGAGCGAACAGGAUUAGAUACCCCUGUAGUCCCUGUCUCUUAUAA
rnacentral:rRNA from 1 species